UGAUGUAGGUUUCAGAAAAACAUUUUCUUUAUCGUGCCAACGUUUCGAUCUUUAUUGAGAUCAUCUUCAGGGCUCAAUAAAGAUCGAAACAUUGGCACGAUAAAGAAAAUGUUUUUCUGAAACCUACAUC
rnacentral:misc_RNA from 13 species